UACGUAGGGUGCAAGCGUUGUCCGGAAUUACUGGGCGUAAAGGGCGUGUAGGCGGCUCUGUUAGUCAGGCGUGAAAGCCCUGGGCUCAACCUGGGGACUGCGCUUGAUACGGCGGGGCUUGAGGGCAGGAGAGGCUCGCGGAAUUCCCAGUGUAGAGGUGAAAUUCGUAGAUAUUGGGAAGAACACCGGUGGCGAAGGCGGCGAGCUGGCCUGUUACUGACGCUGAGGCGCGACAGCGAGGGGAGCAAACAGG
rnacentral:rRNA from 1 species